UCCCUGGAGGACUAGUGGUUAGGCCUCAUCGCUCUCACCACCGCGGCCCAGGUGCGAGUCCUGACCACAGAG
rnacentral:tRNA from 1 species